UACGAAGGUGGCUAGCGUUGUUCGGAAUCACUGGGCGUAAAGGGCGCGUAGGCGGCUUUAUAAGUCGGGGGUGAAAGCCUGUGGCUCAACCACAGAAUUGCCUUCGAUACUGUAGAGCUUGAGACCGGAAGAGGUAAGUGGAACUGCGAGUGUAGAGGUGAAAUUCGUAGAUAUUCGCAAGAACACCAGUGGCGAAGGCGGCUUACUGGUCCGGUUCUGACGCUGAGGCGCGAAAGCGUGGGGAGCAAACAGG
rnacentral:rRNA from 1 species